GUCCACGCCGUAAACGAUGAUCACUAGACGUUAGUCCGGCUUGCCGGAUUAGUGUCAAAGCUAACGCGUUAAGUGAUUCGCCUGGGGAUUACGGUCGCAAGACUAAAACUUAAAGAAAUUGACGGGGUCCGCACAAGCGGUGGAACAUGUGGUUUAAUUCGAUACUACGCGAGGAACCUUACCUGGGUUUGACAUGCACAUGACUGUCGUAGAAAUACGAUUUUUCAGGCUUCGGUCUGGACAUGUGCACAGGUGUUGCAUGGCUGUCGU
rnacentral:rRNA from 1 species